rnacentral:rRNA from 1 species
GCACCGGCUAACUACGUGCCAGCAGCCGCGGUAAUACGUAGGGGCGAGCGUUGUCCGGAAUUAUUGGGCGUAAAGGGUACGUAGGCGGCUUUUUAAGUUUGACGUGAAAGCCCGGGGCUUAACUCCGGCAAGCGUUGAAAACUGGAGGGCUUGAGUGAUGGAAGGGACAGUGGAAUUCCUGGUGUAGUGGUGAAAUGCGCAGAGAUCAGGAAGAAUACCAGUGGCGAAGGCGACUGUCUGGACAUUAACUGACGCUGAGGUACGAAAGCGUGGGGAGCAAACAGGAUCAGAUACCCUGGUAGUCCACGCUGUAAACGAUGAGUGCAAGGUGUUGGGGGUCAAACCUCGGUGCCGCCGUUAACACAGUAAGCACUCCGCCUGGGGAGUACGUACGCA